rnacentral:rRNA from 1 species
AACGAACGCUGGCGGCAGGCCUAACACAUGCAAGUCGAGCGAAGCCUUCGGGUUUAGCGGCGGACGGGUGAGUAGCGCGUGGGAAUAUGCCCUUUGGUACGGAACAGUCCCGGGAAACUGGGUUUAAUACCGUAUGUGGUCCUUCGUAGUGGAUACGGGGGACGAAAGAUUUAUCGCCAAAGGAUUAGCCCGCGUUGGAUUAGGUAGUUGGUGGGUAACGGCCUACCAAGCCGACGAUCCAUAGCUGGUUUGAGAGGAUGAUCAGCCACACUGGGACUGAGACACGGCCCAGACUCCUACGGGAGGCAGCAGUGGGGAAUCUUAGACAAUGGGGGCAACCCUGAUCUAGCCAUGCCGCGUGAGUGAUGAAGGCCUUAGGGUUGUAAAGCUCUUUCAGCUGGGAAGAUAAUGACGGUACCAGCAGAAGAAGCCCCGGCUAACUCCGUG